UACAGAGGGGGCAAGCGUUAUUCGGAAUUAUUGGGCGUAAAGGGCGCGUAGGCGGUGAUUCAAGUUGGAUGUGUAAUCCCCGAGCUCAACUUGGGAACUGCAUCCAAGACUGGAUCGCUAGAGUACUGGAGAGGGUGGUGGAAUUCCUCGUGUAGCGGUGAAAUGCGUAGAGAUGAGGAGGAACACCAGUGGCGAAGGCGGCCACCUGGACAGUAACUGACGCUGAGGCGCGAAAGUGUGGGGAGCAAACAGGAUUAGAUACCCUGGUAGUCCACACUGUAAACGAUGAACACUUGGUGUGGAGGGAGUUGACCCCUUCCGUGCCGUAGCUAACGCGAUAAGUGUUCCGCCUGGGGAGUACGGUCGCAAGGCUG
rnacentral:rRNA from 1 species